rnacentral:rRNA from 1 species
AGCGGCGGACGGGUGAGUAACGCGUGGAUAACCUGCCUCACACAGGGGGAUAACAGUUAGAAAUGACUGCUAAUACCGCAUAAGCGCACGGUACCGCAUGGUACGGUGUGAAAAACUCCGGUGGUAUGAGAUGGACCCGCGUCUGAUUAGGUAGUUGGUGGGGUAACGGCCUACCAAGCCGACGAUCAGUAGCCGACCUGAGAGGGUGACCGGCCACAUUGGGACUGAGACACGGCCCAA